AAGAACCGAUCGACUGCUUUACACCGUCUCAACUUCUCGAAUCAUUUCACCAUCUCUAAUCCUUUUGGAGAGAAUUGAUUGAAACCCGAACAUUUCCAUCACACAGUUCAAUCCUUUUUUUGUUCUACAAUUUUGGAGACCCAGUCGUACUGAAGAACAACUAAUUCGAAGAGAAAGGAGAAAUAUAUUUGCCGUUGAUUGUUUUCUUACACGGCGGAUUCAAUUGUGGGUUUUAAAAAUCUCCUUAUCUAUCUUAGUUAAUUGGGAGAUCUAUAAAAACAGACGGACAAAGACACAUACAUCAUAAACGGCAGAUUAUAUGUGCAAUUGUGAAGAAUAGUAAUCAAACAGAAGGACAAAGGGAGAGACAGUACUGCAAAUAUGAGAUUUAAUAUUCCCGAUUAUAUAAUUAGGAGUGUUUAAGCAAUUUUUACAUGAUAUUACUGAACUGUACUAAACAUCUGUAAUUAUAUCAGGUAUCUACGUGGAACCCUACAGCUUAGAUUGGAGAUGACAUUGUCCAACAUAAUUGAUAAUGUAUUUGUUGAGAUCGAAGCAAGCUGAAAGCAGCUAAGUUGGCAGCCAUUUCGUAAGCUUAAGUGAUAUGUGCUGAAAAACUUUGUUGGAAGGUAUGAAGUUUAUUUGCAUGAGUAAUGAGUAUUUAUAGGUAAAAUAUGUUCUCAUAAUACAUUAUCAUAAUUGAUUCACUAAUUAAUUCGGUAAUCAAAUUUCCG